rnacentral:lncRNA from 1 species
GUCAUUCUUUGGUAUCUUAUUUCAUGUUUUAAUGAUACAGGUAAUAUUUUGUGUUGUCUUAUUUGUGAAUGCUGGUCAUUCUGUAUCGUCUUGGGAAAGUUGGUAUUGCACCUUUAGUACCUCUAUUUGUGAAUGCUGGUCAUUUUGUACCGUCUUGGGAAAGUUGGUAUUGCACCUUUAGUACCUACUGUGAAUGCUGGUCAUUCAGUCUUUUUUUUUUGUGAAUGUUACCAGUUCAUUAUUUAUUGAUGUAAUAAUCUUCUUUUCAUACAUCAUGUACAUGUAUUUGUGACCAGAUCUGGCAGAUCUUCAUGUUUUUUUUCAAAAAGAUUUUACUAAAACAGGACAAAC